GACGAACGCNGGCGGCGUGCUUAACACAUGCAAGUCGAACGAAGAGCGAUGGAAGCUUGCUUCUAUCAAUCUUAGUGGCGAACGGGUGAGUAACGCGUAAUCAACCUGCCCUUCAGAGGGGGACAACAGUUGGAAACGACUGCUAAUACCGCAUACGAUCUAACCUCGGCAUCGAGGAUAGAUGAAAGGUGGCCUCUACAUGUAAGCUAUCACUGAAGGAGGGGAUUGCGUCUGAUUAGCUAGUUGGAGGGGUAACGGCCCACCAAGGCGAUGAUCAGUAGCCGGUCUGAGAGGAUGAACGGCCACAUUGGGACUGAGACACGGCCCAGACUCCUACGGGAGGCAGCAGUGGGGAAUCUUCCGCAAUGGACGAAAGUCUGACGGAGCAACGCCGCGUGAGUGAUGACGGCCUUCGGGUUGUAAAGCUCUGUUAAUCGGGACGAAAGGCCUUCUUGCGAAUAGUUAGAAGGAUGA
rnacentral:rRNA from 1 species